rnacentral:rRNA from 1 species
AGUUUAAGGAAAUGAUCUUAAAUGUAUUCUGCCCAGUGAUUAUUUUUUAAAUGGCCGCAGUACCUUGACUGUGCUAAGGUAGCAUAAUCAAUUGGCUUCUAAUUAAAGUCUGGAAUGAAAGGAAAAAUGAGGUAGUUCUGUCUUAAGGAAUUUUUUUUGAAUUUAUUUAAAUGAUGAAAAUAUCAUUUUUUAGAAAAAAGACGAGAAGACCCUUAGAGUUUUCAAUUUUUUUUUGUUGGGGCGACAUGUAAACAAUUAAACUUUACUAGUGUGAUAAAUCGAUUAUUUUAUAAGAAUAAUUAAACUACCUUAGGGAUAACAGCAUUAUAUAUUUUUUUAUGAUUGUGACCUCGAUGUUGGACUAGGAACUUUAUGGCUAGCCGUCAAAAAAGAUUUGUU